rnacentral:lncRNA from 1 species
CGAACGAACCACCGUCGGCCACACCGUUUAUUUCUUUUUUUUUUCUUUUCUUUUCCUCUUUUUCUCCUACUCCUUCCAGAACCCCAGCUGCAGAUUGACCAUGGCAGACAGGUGGUGAGUCCCAACUCCCAAGCAACAGCUUCUCCAGCAUUGAGAUCGUUGCUGGAUCUGCACCACCUCCAACCGCAUCGUCCGAGCUUCACACUCCAGCCAUGGCUGCGCCGCCGUUGAAUCCAGGAGGCGGCCGACGAUGGAUGGGUUUCCAUCGAAGCCACCAUCUCGACAGGUUGGCUCUGGCCAAGUUCCGGCUCCAGCAGCGUCACCAGCGAAGCCCAGAAAGAGGGGGGCGUCGACCUGAGACACUGUACAGCGGCGACGGUGGAU